rnacentral:rRNA from 1 species
AACGAACGCUGGCGGCGUGCCUAACACAUGCAAGUCGAACGGGAUUCGGAGCUUGCUCCGAUGAGAGUGGCGCACGGGUGAGUAACGCGUAGAUAAUCUGCCUGAUGAUCUGGGAUAACAGUUCGAAAGGACUGCUAAUACCGGAUAAGCCCACGGAGACCUUGGUCUUUGCGGGAAAAGGGGGGGACCUUCGGGCCUUCCGUCAUCAGAUGAGUCUGCGUACCAUUAGCUAGUUGGUAGGGUAAAGGCCUACCAAGGCGACGAUGGUUAGCUGGUCUGAGAGGAUGAGCAGCCACACUGGAACUGAGACACGGUCCAGACUCCUACGGGAGGUAGCAGUGGGGAAUUUUGCGCAAUGGGGGAAACCCUGACGCAGCAACGCCGCGUGAGUGAUGAAGGCUCUUGGGUCGUAAAGCUCUGACAGAGGGAAAGAAGUGUAUGGUGGUUAAUACCCAUUGUACUUGACGGUACCCUCAAAGGAAGCACCGGCUAACUCCGUGCCAGCCGCCGCGGUAAAAC